AGUGAAAACAAGCCCAAAUUUCGUUUUUCGUUCACAUAUCUUUGAAGAAGAAGAAGAAGGUCUUACUUGCUGGCUUUGCGUUCGGUGCUUCUGUAGGCAUUUUUACCAAAUGUUUCUUCCAAACAGAUCAAAACUCUGUUGUCAGCUUUUUGGUAGGUGCAGCAAUUUGCUUUGGAGCUUUCUGGUGUGGAGCCAAGGUGUCAAGGCUAAGGCUCAUCAUCUAUGCCAGUGGCCUAUCAGUUUCUUAUGUUUUCAUCUACUUGUGGUUUGUGAUUGCUUCUGACAUGAUAUUUGACGGCCUCACAUAUUCUUCAUGAUCUUUGAGGCCUCACAUAUUCUUGGACACUAACGGUAUUUGCUGUGUUGGCAUUGUUUGUGGCGUACUUUGUGAUAUAUAGCCAAGACAUAGUGUAUAUUGCUCUUUCUGAUGAUGUUGAUUUUGUCAAAUGCACAUUCACCAUCUUCUCCAAUUUAUCCACUUUACUAUUUCGUGUUGCCCGAUUAGAGGUGAAUGCAAUGAUGGAACACUGCCGGCAGAGUUAAUGCUGUCACAGUAAAACCUACAAUUUCUCUUUGAAACUACAUUUUACUGUACGUAUUUGGAAUUCUCAAGUCUGAAGCCAAGUGCUAUGAAUAUUUCUUGGCAAAUACUGGUUGUUGAUUGAUUACCGUGCCCCAUAGUUAAGAAAAAUUUGAAUAGCAUAUACAUAAUUUUUCUUCCUUUUUCAAGCAAAGUUAAUGAGAAUAUUUGGAAUAUACAAGAGCUAUAAUUGUUAACAUUUAUGGAUGCUGUUCAACUUUACUUUAUUGCA